rnacentral:rRNA from 1 species
GUGGGGAAUCUUCCGCAAUGGACGAAAGUCUGACGGAGCAACGCCGCGUGAGUGAUGAAGGUCUUCGGAUUGUAAAGCUCUGUUAAUCGGGACGAAAGAGCCUAGUGUGAAUAAUGCUAGGAAGUGACGGUACCGGAAUAGAAAGCCACGGCUAACUACGUGCCAGCAGCCGCGGUAAUACGCAGGUGGCAAGCGUUGUCCGGAAUUAUUGGGCGUAAAGCGCGCGCAGGCGGAUCUGCCAGUCUGUCUUAAAAGUUCGGGGCUUAACCCCGUGAUGGGAUGGAAACUACAGAUCUAGAGUAUCGGAGAGGAAAGUGGAAUUCCUAGUGUAGCGGUGAAAUGCGUAGAUAUUAGGAAGAACACCAGUGGCGAAGGCGACUUUCUGGACGAAAACUGACGCUGAGGCGCGAAAGCCAGGGGAGCGAACGGGAUUAGAAACCCCUGUAGUCC